ACAUGGCCCGAUCGAAGCUGUGUAGAGUCUAUCUAUACUCUGUUCAGUCAACUCGCGGCCGACAGCAGUCUUGCAAUAAGGUCGCACGCGUGUUGAUACAACGCAUGAUGUGCAUUACCCAUUGCAAGGACAAAU